rnacentral:rRNA from 1 species
UACGUAGGCAGCGAGCGUUGUUCGGAAUUACUGGGCGUAAAGAGUGUGUAGGCGGUGCUCUAAGUUCGGUGUGAAAUCUCCCGGCUCAACCCCGGGAGGCGGGCGGAUACUGUCGAGCUAGAGUCCGGAAGAGGCGAGUGGGAUUCCUGGUGUAGCGGUGAAAUGCGCAGAUAUCAGGAGGAACACCAAUGGCGAAGGCAGCUCGCUGGGACGGUACUGACGCUGAGACGCGAAAGCGUGGGGAGCAAACAGG